AUUGAACGCUGGCGGCAGGCCUAACACAUGCAAGUCGGGCGGAUGAAGGGAGCUUGCUCCUGGAUUCAGCGGCGGACGGGUGAGUAAUGCCUAGGAAUCUGCCUGGUAGUGGGGGAUAACGUCCGGAAACGGGCGCUAAUACCGCAUACGUCCUGAGGGAGAAAGUGGGGGAUCUUCGGACCUCACGCUAUCAGAUGAGCCUAGGUCGGAUUAGCUAGUUGGUGGGGUAAAGGCCUACCAAGGCGACGAUCCGUAACUGGUCUGAGAGGAUGAUCAGUCACACUGGAACUGAGACACGGUCCAGACUCCUACGGGAGGCAGCAGUGGGGAAUAUUGGACAAUGGGCGAAAGCCUGAUCCAGCCAUGCCGCGUGUGUGAAGAAGGUCUUCGGAUUGUAAAGCACUUUAAGUUGGGAGGAAGGGCAGUAAGUUAAUACCUUGCUGUUUUGACGUUACCAACAGAAUAAGCACCGGCUAACUUCGU
rnacentral:rRNA from 1 species